GAUGAACGCUGGCGGCGUGCCUAAUACAUGCAAGUCGAGCGAACGGACGAGAAGCUUGCUUCUCUGAUGUUAGCGGCGGACGGGUGAGUAACACGUGGAUAACCUACCUAUAAGACUGGGAUAACUUCGGGAAACCGGAGCUAAUACCGGAUAAUAUUUUGAACCGCAUGGUUCAAAAGUGAAAGACGGUCUUGCUGUCACUUAUAGAUGGAUCCGCGCUGCAUUAGCUAGUUGGUAAGGUAACGGCUUACCAAGGCAACGAUGCAUAGCCGACCUGAGAGGGUGAUCGGCCACACUGGAACUGAGACACGGUCCAGACUCCUACGGGAGGCAGCAGUAGGGAAUCCUCCGCAAUGGGCGAAAGCCUGACGGAGCAACGCCGCGUGAGUGAUGAAGGUCUUCGGAUCGUAAAACUCUGUUAUUAGGGAAGAACAUAUGUGUAAGUAACUGUGCACAUCUUGACGGUACCUAAUCAGAAAGCCACGGCUAACUACGUGCCAGCAGCCGCGGUAAUACGUAGGUGGCAAGCGUUAUCCGGAAUUAUUGGGCGUAAAGCGCGCGUAGGCGGUUUUUUAAGUCUGAUGUGAAAGCCCACGGCUCAACCGUGGAGGGUCAUUGGAAACUGGAAAACUUGAGUGCAGAAGAGGAAAGUGGAAUUCCAUGUGUAGCGGUGAAAUGCGCAGAGAUAUGGAGGAACACCAGUGGCGAAGGCGACUUUCUGGUCUGUAACUGACGCUGAUGUGCGAAAGCGUGGGGAUCAAACAGGAUUAGAUACCCUGGUAGUCCACGCCGUAAACGAUGAGUGCUAAGUGUUAGGGGGUUUCCGCCCCUUAGUGCUGCAGCUAACGCAUUAAGCACUCCGCCUGGGGAGUACGACCGCAAGGUUGAAACUCAAAGGAAUUGACGGGGACCCGCACAAGCGGUGGAGCAUGUGGUUUAAUUCGAAGCAACGCGAAGAACCUUACCAAAUCUUGACAUCCUUUGACAACUCUAGAGAUAGAGCUUUCCCCUUCGGGGGACAAAGUGACAGGUGGUGCAUGGUUGUCGUCAGCUCGUGUCGUGAGAUGUUGGGUUAAGUCCCGCAACGAGCGCAACCCUUAAGCUUAGUUGCCAUCAUUAAGUUGGGCACUCUAAGUUGACUGCCGGUGACAAACCGGAGGAAGGUGGGGAUGACGUCAAAUCAUCAUGCCCCUUAUGAUUUGGGCUACACACGUGCUACAAUGGACAAUACAAAGGGCAGCGAAACCGUGAGGUCAAGCAAAUCCCAUAAAGUUGUUCUCAGUUCGGAUUGUAGUCUGCAACUCGACUACAUGAAGCUGGAAUCGCUAGUAAUCGUAGAUCAGCAUGCUACGGUGAAUACGUUCCCGGGUCU
rnacentral:rRNA from 1 species